CCUUGUACACACCGCCCGUCACACCAUGGGAGUCGUUUGCUCCAGAAGUGGCUAUGCCAACCCCGCAAGGGAGGUAGGUCCCCCAAGGAGUGAACGGUAACUGGGGUG
rnacentral:rRNA from 1 species